rnacentral:rRNA from 1 species
GGUGUGGAGAGUUUGAUCCUGGCUCAGGAUAAACGCUGGCGGCGUGCCUAAUGCAUGCAAGUCGAACGGUGUCCUUCGGGACAUAGUGGCAAACGGGUGAGUAACACGUGGGGAUCUGCCCAGUAGUGGGGAACAACUCCUCGAA